rnacentral:rRNA from 1 species
AUACGGAGGGUGCAAGCGUUGUUCGGAAUUACUGGGCGUAAAGCGCGAGUAGGUGGUCUGUUAUGUCAGAUGUGAAAGUCCACGGCUCAACCGUGGAAGUGCAUUUGAAACUGGCAGACUUGAGUACUGGAGGGGGUAGUGGAAUUCCCGGUGUAGAGGUGAAAUUCGUAGAUAUCGGGAGGAAUACCGGUGGCGAAGGCGACUACCUGGCCAGAUACUGACACUGAGGUGCGAAAGCGUGGGGAGCGAACAGGAUUAGAAACCCCAGUAGUCC